rnacentral:rRNA from 1 species
AUUGAACGCUGGCGGCAUGCUUUACACAUGCAAGUCGAACGGUAACAGGGUGCUUGCACCGCUGACGAGUGGCGAACGGGUGAGUAAUGCGUCGGAACGUGCCGAGUAGUGGGGGAUAACGCAGCGAAAGUUGUGCUAAUACCGCAUACGUACUGAGGUAGAAAGUGGGGGACCUUCGGGCCUCACGCUAUUCGAGCGGCCGACGACUGAUUAGCUAGUAGGUGUGGUAAAGGCUCACCUAGACGACGAUCAGUAGCGGGGCUGAGAGGAUGAUCCGCCACACUGGGACUGAGACACGGCCCAGACUCCUAAGGAGGGCAGCAGUGGGGAAUUUUGGACAAUGGGCGAAAGCCGGAUCCAGCCAUGCCGCGUGUCUGAAGAAGGCCUUCGGGUUGUAAAGGACUUUUGUCAGGGAGGAAAUCCCUAGCGUUAAUACCGCUGGGGGAUGACAGUACCUGAAGAAUAAGCACCGGCUAACUACGUGCCAGCCGCCGCAGUAACAC